UAUUUUAAAUGGCGGCAUUUCAUCUUAUUAGAGGAACCUGUUUAUUAAUCGACAAUCCACGUUAAUUUUCACUUUUAUUAUAAAUUUAUAUAUCGCUGUUUAAAGAAUUAAUUUAAUUUUUUUCAAAAUAUAUACUAAAAAAAUAAGUCAAGGUGUAGUUUAAAUGUAAGCAUAUUAUGGGUUACAAUAAAAACAAUUUAUAGAUAAAUUUUUUAAAAAAAACUUUCAAAUAGGAUUUAUAAGUAUAUCAUUACAACAAUAUUUAUAAUCGAAUAAGAUAAAAAAUGUGCACACAUCGCCGGUCGCCUCUUA
rnacentral:rRNA from 1 species